GACGAACGCUGGCGGCGUGCUUAACACAUGCAAGUCGAACGGAAAGGCCCUGCUUGCAGGGUACUCGAGUGGCGAACGGGUGAGUAACACGUGGGUGAUCUGCCCUGCACUUCGGGAUAAGCUUGGGAAACUGGGUCUAAUACCGGAUAGGAACCAUCUUUAGUGUGGUGGUUGGAAAGUUUUUUCGGUGUAGGAUGAGCUCGCGGCCUAUCAGCUUGUUGGUGGGGUAAUGGCCUACCAAGGCGGCGACGGGUAGCCGGCCUGAGAGGGUGUACGGCCACAUUGGGACGGAGAUACGGCCCAGACUCCUACGGGAGGCAGCAGUGGGGAAUAUUGCACAAUGGGCACAAGCCUGAUGCAGCGACGCCGCGUGGGGGAUGAAGGCCUUCGGGUUGUAAACUCCUUUCGCUAGGGACGAAGCUUUGUUGUGACGGUACCUAGAUAAGAAGCACCGGCUAACUACGUG
rnacentral:rRNA from 1 species